GUGCCAGCAGCCGCGGUAAUACGGAGGGGGUUAGCGUUGUUCGGAAUUACUGGGCGUAAAGCGUACGUAGGCGGAUUAGUCAGUCAGAGGUGAAAUCCCAGGGCUCAACCCUGGAACUGCCUUUGAUACUGCUAGUCUUGAGUUCGAGAGAGGUGAGUGGAAUUCCAAGUGUAGAGGUGAAAUUCGUAGAUAUUUGGAGGAACACCAGUGGCGAAGGCGGCUCACUGGCUCGAUACUGACGCUGAGGUACGAAAGUGUGGGGAGCAAACAGGAUUAGAUACCCUGGUAGUCCACACCGUAAACGAUGAAUGCCAGUCGUCGGGCAGUAUACUGUUCGGUGACACACCUAACGGAUUAAGCAUUCCGCCUGGGGAGUACGGUCGCAAGAUUAAAACUCAAAAGAAUUGACGGGG
rnacentral:rRNA from 1 species